rnacentral:rRNA from 1 species
UCAGACGAUGCGUCAUGCAUAUCAAUAAGCGGAGGAAAAGAAACUAACAAGGAUUCCCCUAGUAACGGCGAGUGAAGCGGGAAGAGCUCAAAUUUGAAAUCUUAAAGGGUUUCCCUUUACGAAUUGUAGUUUAAAGAAGUGUUUUCUGUUGAGGUUUUGGUAAAAGUUCUUUGGAAUAGGACAUCAUAGAGGGUGAGAAUCCCGUAUUUGACCUUUACUUUCAACUUUGUGAUACACUUUCAAAGAGUCGGAUUGUUUGGGAAUGCAGUCCAAAAUGGGUGGUAAAUUUCAUCUAAAGCUAAAUAUUGGCGAGAGACCGAUAGCGAACAAGUACCGUGAGGGAAAGAUGAAAAGAACUUUGAAAAGAGAGUUAAACAGUACGUGAAAUUGUCAAAAGGGAAGCGUUUGACACCAGUGUUGUUUUUCUGAAAAUCAAUUAAAGAACUGUUUAUGCUAAGUUGUUUAGACUUUAUCAGCUAACUGUUUAGUUUUGAGCUUUUCUUUAAUGCACUUUUCAGUUAACAAGUCAACAUCAAUUUCUUUUGCUGUAAAAAAGCUUGAGGAAGGUGGCUUGAGAUUCGUCUUAAGUGUUUAUAGCCUCUUGCCUAUGCAGUCGGAGAGAUUGAGGUCUGCAGCGUAGAUCCUUCGGGGCUAGAUACAGUUGGUGCUAAGUUAUAAUCAUUAUAUAGACAACUUGUUGACUAUGAUUUGAUCAUUGUAGCUUACUCGCUGGAUGUUAUUUUACCUACGCUUAGGAUGUUGAGCGCAUGUCUCUCUCU